GGCCAAGCAGGGGGACCAGGCUAGGGUCACACGUCGAGGGAGGCCCAGGGCCCUGCGCAGCAGCGGGACAUCGUGGCACCCCCGUCCUGAGCGGUGGAGGACAACGGGAAGGCUAGCGGGGAGACAGCGCAGCCCCGAGAAUACCUGAGGUGAGGGGUCUGUGAAGAUGUGAACUAAUGAAGCCACACCUCUGUUGAAGAACCUUCAGACUAGAACUUCGUGACUGGGAAAUGUGGACUGUCCCAGAUGAAGACUCAACUAAACUGAGCUCGUUUUCAUCCCUUUACUAGCCAUUCCCUACACUCCUUUGUUUCUGACCUCACAUUUUGUGACCGUUAGAUAAACCUUUUGAGGUGUGUUAGUAGAGAACUAACUCCCACCAACCUUGAAGCUAAUAUGAUCAGACGGGGGGUGUCCCUUCAUGGUUGCCAGAUGAUACUGAGAAAAUUGGGGUACCCUCUUGGGGUUCUCAGCUUCAAUAAUAAAUGAAUUUUUUAAGAAUGGACCCAAAUACAAACAAGAGGACAGUUUUUACUAACAUGUAAAAGAAAAAAGACCCCUGGACAGUCGAGCUUGUAAACUUCGGUUGCUUCUCCUGAAAGAGAGGAUGGAGGAGAGAUUGAAAGAGACAAAGCAUGAGUUAAAGCACCAGAGAUCAGAGGCAUGGCAAGGGGCAGCCGUGUGCCAGAGAGUGGAACUGUAGAGAAAAAUAAGGAAGCCCAGAGUAUUGGAAAAAGUAUUCGUCAGUUCUGACCAGGAAAAGAAAGAAAAGUUACACCUUUCUGAGCCAGGCAGCCCAGCUUGUAGGGACUACACCAGGGAGUGGGAAUUCUAGGAAGAAAAAUUACAUUGGCUUGGGCUGGAGAGAUGACUCAGUGGUUAAGAGCACUGACUGCUCUUCCAGAGGUCCUGAGUUCAAUUCCCAGCAGCCACAUGGUGGCUCACAACCAUGUGUAAUGGGAUCCGAUGCCCUCUUCUUGUGUGUCUGAGGACAGCUACAGUAUAUUCAUGUAAAUAAAAAAAAUUUUAAGUACAUUA